rnacentral:misc_RNA from 1 species
AAGUCGUAACAAGGUUUCCGUAGGUGAACCUGCGGAAGGAUCAUUACGCAUAGGGACUGGCAGCCGAGUCCCCACCUAGCGAAAAUUAGGUGGGGUAAGGUGCGCCAGCAACCCCCCGCAGACUACUGCCGCCCGGGCCAUCCCUGCCUUUUUGAGCACCAUUUCGUUUCCUCGGCGGGCUUGCCCGCCACUGGGGACCCUCAAAACCUUUUGAUUAAUGAAGAAGUAACAGUAUCAUAAAAAAACUUUAUCACAA